UACGUAGGGGGCAAGCGUUGUCCGGAAUCAUUGGGCGUAAAGAGCGUGUAGGCGGCCCGAUAAGUCCGUCGUGAAAGUCCAGGGCUCAACCCUGGGAUGCCGGUGGAAACUGUCGGGCUAGAGUCCGGAAGAGGCGAGUGGAAUUCCUGGUGUAGCGGUGAAAUGCGCAGAUAUCAGGAGGAACACCAAUGGCGAAGGCAGCUCGCUGGGACGGUACUGACGCUGAGACGCGAAAGCGUGGGGAGCAAACAGG
rnacentral:rRNA from 1 species